rnacentral:rRNA from 1 species
UACGAAGGGGGCUAGCGUUGCUCGGAAUCACUGGGCGUAAAGGGUGCGUAGGCGGGUUUUUAAGUCAGAGGUGAAAUCCUGGAGCUCAACUCCAGAACUGCCUUUGAUACUGAAAGUCUUGAGUAUGGGAGAGGUGAGUGGAACUGCGAGUGUAGAGGUGAAAUUCGUAGAUAUUCGCAAGAACACCAGUGGCGAAGGCGGCUCACUGGCCCAUUACUGACGCUGAGGCACGAAAGCGUGGGGAUCAAACAGGG